UACGUAGGGUGCAAGCGUUGUCCGGAAUUAUUGGGCGUAAAGAGCUCGUAGGCGGUUUGUUGCGUCAGGAGUGAAAACUCGGGGCUUAACCCCGAGCCUGCUUCUGAUACGGGCAGACUAGAGGUAUGCAGGGGAGAACGGAAUUCCUGGUGUAGCGGUGAAAUGCGCAGAUAUCAGGAGGAACACCGGUGGCGAAGGCGGUUCUCUGGGCAUUACCUGACGCUGAGGAGCGAAAGUGUGGGGAGCGAACAGG
rnacentral:rRNA from 1 species